GAACCAGGGCUUCGGCCCUGGGGACAGCGGCGAACGGGUGAGUAACACGUGGAUUACCUGCCCUCGGCACCGGGAUAGCCCGGGGAAACCCGGAUUAAUACCGGAUAGCCCGUCCGGCUCUCGAGCCGGCCGGAAAAGGUAGCUUCGGCCUCUGGCCGAGGAUGGGUCCGCGGCGGAUUAGCUUGUUGGUGGGGUAACGGCUCACCAAGGCGACGAUCCGUAGCUGGUCUGAGAGGACGAUCAGCCACACUGGGACUGAGACACGGCCCAGACUCCUACGGGAGGCAGCAGUGGGGAAUCUUGCGCAAUGGGCGAAAGCCUGACGCAGCGACGCCGCGUGAGGGAAGAAGGCCUUCGGGUUGUAAACCUCUUUCAGGAGGGACGAAGCCACUCGGGUGAACAGCCCAGAGGGUGACGGUACCUCCAGAAGAAGCCCCGGCUAACUACGUGCCAGCAGCCGCGGUAAUACGUAGGGGGCAAGCGUUGUCCGGAUUUACUGGGCGUAAAGAGCGUGCAGGCGGCCAGGCAGGUCCGUUGUGAAAACUGAAGGCUUAACCUUCAGACGUCGACGGAAACCGCGUGGCUAGAGUCCGGAAGAGGAGAGUGGAAUUCCUGGUGUA
rnacentral:rRNA from 1 species